UACGUAGGGUGCAAGCGUUGUCCGGAAUUAUUGGGCGUAAAGAGCUCGUAGGCGGUUUGUCGCGUCUGCUGUGAAAACCCGAGGCUCAACCUCGGGCCUGCAGUGGGUACGGGCAGACUAGAGUGCGGUAGGGGAGAUUGGAAUUCCUGGUGUAGCGGUGGAAUGCGCAGAUAUCAGGAGGAACACCGAUGGCGAAGGCAGAUCUCUGGGCCGUAACUGACGCUGAGGAGCGAAAAGCGUGGGGGAGCGAACAGG
rnacentral:rRNA from 1 species